UUUUCUUUUCCAGUUGACAUUCAGUUAGCAUUUGUGAACAAUCGGAGCAUUCAAAUUCUUGCUUAUUUGUGUUAUUUCUAUGAUUGAAUGGUUUGUUUUUUCAACAUCAAGUUUGUAAUUCAUAUGUAAUUAGGUUUAACCGAAAGUUGCUUCUUCACCCGCAGAUUAGAUGAAAUUGCUGUUAAAUGCACUAGACAUUUUGAAAACCUUUUUUGCUCUCCUUUGAAAGGUGGUUGUUUGUUGCUUGAGUAGUAUCUUUAAAAUGUCUAUCUUUAGAGAAAUUUAAGAAACAAUAAUUAAAAUAGCCAUGAUGAUGUUAAGAUGCAUAAUCCAACUUCGAACGUUGAGGUAGUGGAUUCUUUUUAUCCCUCUCUUGGCAAAUGAUUUGACAAUUUUGGGAGAUAUUCAUAUACGUGCAUCCUUUGGGCAUUUCAUGUACUGUAGUGUCA
rnacentral:lncRNA from 1 species